AAGGCUGCACUUUCAGGAAUCAUUUCUAUAGCUUGUUACAAGAGAAAGUUUUCUGAUCUUGUAGCGCACCAGAAACCAUGAGGAGGCAUAGUGUUCCUUCUUGAGCAUGAAGCUGGCUCUUGGUGUUGCUUGACUGCACCUACCACUUGCACCUACCACUUGAUGAUCGUUCUUGCUUUCUCCUUGGAGAGCACAAGAGGGAAGGAACACAGUCUGAGUGGU
ensembl:snoRNA U3 Small nucleolar RNA U3